CCUACGGGAGGCUGCAGUGAGGAAUAUUGGUCAAUGGCCGGAAGGCUGAACCAGCCAUGCCGCGUGAAGGUCAGUGCCCUAUGGGCGUUAAACUUCUUUUGUGCGGGAGCAAUAAUGGUCACGUGUGGCCAGACGAGAGUACCGUACGAAUAAGCAUCGGCUAACUCCGUGCCAGCAGCCGCGGUAAGACGGGGGAUGCAAGCGUUAUCCGGAUUUAUUGGGUUUAAAGGGUGCGUAGGCUGUGAGGUAAGUCAGCGGUGAAAUGCCUCCGCUCAACGGGGUGAAGUGCCAUUGAUACUGCCUGGCUGGAAUGCGGAUGCGGUGGGAGGAAUGUGUGGUGUAGCGGUGAAAUGCAUAGAUAUCACACAGAACACCGAUUGCGAAGGCAUCUCACGAAUCCGCGAUUGACGCUGAUGCACGAAAGCGUGGGUAUCAAACAGGAUUAGAUACCCCAGUAGUC
rnacentral:rRNA from 1 species